rnacentral:tRNA from 1 species
UAGAGUAUAGUAUAAUGGAAGUAUGGAGAGUUUUGAUCUCUUUGGUGCAGGUUCAAAUCCUGUUUUUCUAA